AGAAGGUCCUGAAGGGCGACCUC
rnacentral:siRNA from 1 species